rnacentral:rRNA from 1 species
AAGCUCGAUUAUGGCUCAGAUUGAACGCUGGCGGGAUGUUUUACACAUGCAAGUCGAACGGCAGCACGGACUUCGGUCUGGUGGCGAGUGGCGAACGGGCAGUAAUGUACUGGAACGCGCCUAGUAGCGGGAUGAGAAAUUCAUGAAAGCGCUAAUACCGCGCAUAACGCCCUUCGGGGGAAAGUAAUCUUCGUCCGGCACCAGCAGAGCGGCCGAUAACGUGAUUGGCUCAGUUAUAAGAAUCGUCACCAAUACGACGACUGUGGUUGGUUUUGAGGAGACGUCUUCGUACCCAACUGACCGAGACCACGGCCCAGACUCCCACGGAUAGCGCAGAAUUUGACAAUACAAAACCAUCUGCCAUCCAUGUGCGGAUGAAAGGCCUUUCAAUAAAACACUUUUGGCAGAAGAACGGCACGGAUAUCCCUGCAGCCUGGCGCACUGCAGAAAUAAAGCCUGGCUAACGCCGCGAGCGCGCAAGACGCAGGGCAAGAAUCGAACAUUGGGCGGCGUAGGCGUUCGGAAGAAGGCGAAACCCGUAGCUUAACUUAACUCGCGAUUUUAACCCAUCGAGCUAGAGUACCGGAGGAUAAUUCCGCGCAGCAGCGGAAUGCAGAUAUGCGGAGAGGAACACCGGAUGGCGAAGGCAGCCUCCUGGGAUAACACUGACGCUCAUGCACGAAAGCGUGGGGAGCAAACAGAUUAGAUACCCUGUAUUCACGCCCUAAACGAUGUCAACUAGCUGUUGGGGCCUCGGGCCUUAUAGCGCAGCUAACGCGUGAAGUUGACCGCCUGGGGAGUACGGGGUCGCAAGACAAAACUCAAAGGAAUUGGACUGGGACCCGCACAAGCGGUGGAUGAUGUACUACACCUGGAUGCAACGCGAAAACCUUACCUACCUCGAUAUGUCUGGAAUCCCGAAGAGAUUUGGGAGUGCCUGCAAGAGAACCGGAACACAGGUGCUGCAUGGCUGCCGCCAGCUUCAGCAUUGAGAUGCUGCUGAGUCCCGCAACGAUGGUGCAACCCGACAAUAGUUGCCAGCGAAAGGGCACCUUAAUGAGACUGCCGGUGACAAACCGGAGGAAGGGGAUGACGUCAGUCUCAUGGCUCUUAGCGUGGGUAGGGCUUUCACACGUCAUACAAUGGUCGGGACAGAGGGCUGCCAACCCGCGAGGGGGAGCCAACCUGCGAAACCCGAUCGUAGUCCGGAUCGCAGUCUGCAACUCGACUGCGUGAAGUCGGAAUCGCUAGUAAUCGCGGAUCAGCAUGUCGCGGUGAAUACGUUCCCGGGUCUUGUACACACCGCCCGUCACACCGCGGAGUGGGUUUUACCAGAAGUGGUUAGCCUAACCGUAAGGAGGGCGAUUACCACGGUAGGAUUCACACUGGGUGGUCAAAUAAGGUAACUCGAGCAUACCUUAUU